rnacentral:rRNA from 1 species
AGAGUUUGAUCCUGGCUCAGAACRAACGCUGGCGGCGUGCCUAACACAUGCAAGUCGAACGGAUUUGAGGGGCUUGCUCCUCAAGUUAGUGGCGCACGGGUGAGUAACGYGUAGAUAAUCUGCCUGAUGAUCCGGGAUAACACUUCGAAAGGGGUGCUAAUACCGGAUAAGCCCACGGGGUCUUUGGAUUCUGCGGGAAAAGGGGGGGACCUUCGGGCCUUCUGUCAUCAGAUGAGUCUGCGUACCAUUAGCUAGUUGGUAGGGUAAUGGCCUACCAAGGCUACGAUGGUUAGCUGGUUUGAGAGAAUGAUCAGCCACACUGGAACUGAGACACGGUCCAGACUCCUACGGGAGGCAGCAGUGGGGAAUUUUGCGCAAUGGGCGAAAGCCUGACGCAGCAACGCCGCGUGAGUGAUGAAGGCUUUCGGGUCGUAAAGCUCUGUCGAGGGGAAAGAAGUGUAUUGUGGCUAAUAUCCGCGAUACUUGACGGUACCCCUAAAGGAAGCACCGGCUAACUCCGUGCCAGCAGCCGCGGUAAUAC